rnacentral:tRNA from 1 species
UUAACUUUGUAUUAAAUUUUUACUUUAAUAUACUUAAAAUAAUCUUUAUUAUAAAU